CCGAAACCGGAAGGGAAGGGGUGGGGAUGGACCGUACAAGUCUCAUGGCCCUUAUGGGUAGGGCUUCACACGUCAUACAAUGGUCGGUACAGAGGGUUGCCAACCCGCGAGGGGGAGCUAAUCCCACAAAGCCGAUCGUAGUCCGGAUCGCAGUCUGCAACUCGACUGCGUGAAGUCGGAAUCGCUAGUAAUCGUGGAUCAGCAUGUCACGGUGAAUACGUUCCCGGGUCUU
rnacentral:rRNA from 1 species